UGGGGAAUUUUGCGCAAUGGGCGAAAGCCUGACGCAGCAACGCCGCGUGGGUGAUGAAGGUCUUCGGAUCGUAAAACCCUGUCGUCGGGGACGAAGGUUGUAUGCCUAACAGGUGUGCAAUUUGACGGUACCCGGAGAGGAAGCCCCGGCUAACUCUGUGCCAGCAGCCGCGGUAAUACAGAGGGGGCAAGCGUUAUUCGGAAUUAUUGGGCGUAAAGGGCGCGUAGGCGGGUUUUUAAGUCAGAUGUGUAAUCCCCGAGCUCAACUUGGGAACUGCAUCUGAGACUGGAAGGCUAGAGUACUGGAGAGGGUGGUAGAAUUCCACGUGUAGCGGUGAAAUGCGUAGAGAUGUGGAGGAAUACCAGUGGCGAAGGCGGCCACCUGGACAGUAACUGACGCUGAGGCGCGAAAGUGUGGGUAGCAAACA
rnacentral:rRNA from 1 species